GAUUUUUAAACCUAGAGGAACUGCAGCAUCUGAAGUUUGCCAUAUGCACCUGAAUCUGAUUUAAACGAUGAGAUUCUGGAUUUUAGUGCCAAAAUAAUCCAAUAUCGUGUAGGCACAUCAGGAAGGCUACAUGGAAGACAAUUGAGAUCUCAGCUAAAUUCCCAAUCAGUAACCAGCACCAACUUGCUAUCCAUGUGAGGGAACCAUCUUGGAAAUGGAUUCUCCAGCCCUCUUCAAGGGUCCCGGACCAUGAUUUCAUGAGACAUUCUCCAAUGAAUGCUAGCAAGUUACAAAAUCAUGUUCAAAUAAAUGAUGGGUCUCAUCUUAA